GACUGUUUACCAAAAACAUAGCCCUAGAUGAUAUNUAAGGUGUAACCUGCCCAAUGGUUUUUAAUUAAAAACAAAUAAGAGUUGUUUAACUAAACUAAAAGGACGCGGUAACCUUGACCGUGAUAAUGUAGCAUAAUCACUCGCCAUUUAAUUGAUGGAUAGUAUGAAUGGUUGAACGAAUAUUCCACUGUCUUAAAAAGAGAGUAACAAAAAUUAAAAUAAUAGUUAAGAUGCUAUUUAAAAUUGUAAGACGAAAAGACCCUAUAGAGCUUAACUACAAUUUUUUCAUAAAAAAAUAGGUAGUUUAAUUGGGGCGAUUAUCUUCUAAAAAUAACGAAGACGAGUAAUUUAAUAUCACUAUAAUUGUUUAAUAUAUAAAUUUAACAAAUAUGAAAAUAGACUAUAAUGACCCGUUAUUCACUUAUAAAAGCAAUAACGAUCAACAAAUAAAAGCUACCUUAGGGAUAACAGGAUAAUUUUAUUUUAGAGAUCUUAUCGAAAAUAAAGUUUGUCACCUCUAUGUUGAAUUAAGACAUCCUGGUAAUGCAGAAGUUACCAAAGGUAGGUCUGUUCGACCUUUAAAGUCUUACAUGA
rnacentral:rRNA from 1 species